rnacentral:rRNA from 1 species
CACGUAGUUAGCCGUGGCUUUCUGGUUAGAUACCGUCAAGGGAUGAACAUUUUACUCUCAUCCUUGUUCUUCUCUAACAACAGAGUUUUACGAUCCGAAAACCUUCUUCACUCACGCGGCGUUGCUCGGUCAGACUUUCGUCCAUUGCCGAAGAUUCCCCUACUGCUGCCUCCCGUAGGAGUCUGGGCCGUGUCUCAGUCCCAGUGUGGCCGAUCACCCUCUCAGGUCGGCUAUGCAUCGUGGCCUUGGUGAGCCGUUACCUCACCAACUAGCUAAUGCACCGCGGGUCCAUCCAUCAGUGACGACAAAGCGCCUUUCAGCUUCCUCUCAUGCGAAGAAAAGCAUUAUACGGUAUUAGCACCUGUUACCAAGUUGUUACUCCCUUCUGAUGGGCUACGGUUACCCUAGUUGUUACUCCUACCCGUUCGCCUACUCCUUCUUUUCGAGUUCGAACCGUAGUU